GGCUCAGAACGAACGCUGGCAGCGUGGAUUAGGCAUGCAAGUCGAACGGGAUCCGGUAGGCAGCAAUGUCGGCCGGUGAGAGUGGCGGAAGGGCGAGGAACACGUGGGCAACCUGUCUUGAGGUGGGGAAAACCGCUGGAAACGGCGGCUAAUACCGAAUGUAGCGCCCGCUCGCAUGAGCGGAGCGCCAAAGGGGGCGAAAGCUCCCCCUCUUCGAGGGGCCCGCGCACCAUCAGCUUGUUGGCGGGGUAACGGCCCACCAAGGCUCACGGUUAGCUGGUCUGAGAGGAUGGCCAGCCGCACUGGGACUGAGAUACUGCCCAGACUCCUACGGGAGGCUGCAGUCGAGGAUCAUUUGCAAUGGGCGAAAGCCUGACAAUGCGACGCUGCGUGGAAGGAUGAAGGCCCUCGGGUUGUAAACUCCUGUCAUGGGGGAAAAGGAAACCCUGCCCAAUACGCAGGGAAUUUGAUGGUACCCCAAGAGGAAGCGACGGCUAACUCUGUGCCAGCCGCAGC
rnacentral:rRNA from 1 species